rnacentral:rRNA from 1 species
GGUUAAGCGACUAAGCGUACACGGUGGAUGCCCUGGCAGUCAGAGGCGAUGAAGGACGUGCUAAUCUGCGAUAAGCGUCGGUAAGGUGAUAUGAACCGUUAUAACCGGCGAUUUCCGAAUGGGGAAACCCAGUGUGAUUCGUCACACUAUCAUUAACUGAAUCCAUAGGUUAAUGAGGCGAACCGGGGGAACUGAAACAUCUAAGUACCCCGAGGAAAAGAAAUCAACCGAGAUUCCCCCAGUAGCGGCGAGCGAACGGGGAGCAGCCCAGAGCCUGAAUCAGUGUGUGUGUUAGUGGAAGCGUCUGGAAAGGCGCGCGAUACAGGGUGACAGCCCCGUACACAAAAAUGCACAUGCUGUGAGCUCGAUGAGUAGGGCGGGACACGUGGUAUCCUGUCUGAAUAUGGGGGGACCAUCCUCCAAGGCUAAAUACUCCUGACUGACCGAUAGUGAACCAGUACCGUGAGGGAAAGGCGAAAAGAACCCCGGCGAGGGGAGUGAAAAAGAACCUGAAACCGUGUACGUACAAGCAGUGGGAGCCUCUUUAUGGGGUGACUGCGUACCUUUUGUAUAAUGGGUCAGCGACUUAUAUUCUGUAGCAAGGUUAACCGAAUAGGGGAGCCGAAGGGAAACCGAGUCUUAACUGGGCGUUAAGUUGCAGGGUAUAGACCCGAAACCCGGUGAUCUAGCCAUGGGCAGGUUGAAGGUUGGGUAACACUAACUGGAGGACCGAACCGACUAAUGUUGAAAAAUUAGCGGAUGACUUGUGGCUGGGGGUGAAAGGCCAAUCAAACCGGGAGAUAGCUGGUUCUCCCCGAAAGCUAUUUAGGUAGCGCCUCGUGAAUUCAUCUCCGGGGGUAGAGCACUGUUUCGGCAAGGGGGUCAUCCCGACUUACCAACCCGAUGCAAACUGCGAAUACCGGAGAAUGUUAUCACGGGAGACACACGGCGGGUGCUAACGUCCGUCGUGAAGAGGGAAACAACCCAGACCGCCAGCUAAGGUCCCAAAGUCAUGGUUAAGUGGGAAACGAUGUGGGAAGGCCCAGACAGCCAGGAUGUUGGCUUAGAAGCAGCCAUCAUUUAAAGAAAGCGUAAUAGCUCACUGGUCGAGUCGGCCUGCGCGGAAGAUGUAACGGGGCUAAACCAUGCACCGAAGCUGCGGCAGCGACACUAUGUGUUGUUGGGUAGGGGAGCGUUCUGUAAGCCUGCGAAGGUGUACUGUGAGGUAUGCUGGAGGUAUCAGAAGUGCGAAUGCUGACAUAAGUAACGAUAAAGCGGGUGAAAAGCCCGCUCGCCGGAAGACCAAGGGUUCCUGUCCAACGUUAAUCGGGGCAGGGUGAGUCGACCCCUAAGGCGAGGCCGAAAGGCGUAGUCGAUGGGAAACAGGUUAAUAUUCCUGUACUUGGUGUUACUGCGAAGGGGGGACGGAGAAGGCUAUGUUGGCCGGGCGACGGUUGUCCCGGUUUAAGCGUGUAGGCUGGUUUUCCAGGCAAAUCCGGAAAAUCAAGGCUGAGGCGUGAUGACGAGGCACUACGGUGCUGAAGCAACAAAUGCCCUGCUUCCAGGAAAAGCCUCUAAGCAUCAGGUAACAUCAAAUCGUACCCCAAACCGACACAGGUGGUCAGGUAGAGAAUACCAAGGCGCUUGAGAGAACUCGGGUGAAGGAACUAGGCAAAAUGGUGCCGUAACUUCGGGAGAAGGCACGCUGAUAUGUAGGUGAAGUCCCUCGCGGAUGGAGCUGAAAUCAGUCGAAGAUACCAGCUGGCUGCAACUGUUUAUUAAAAACACAGCACUGUGCAAACACGAAAGUGGACGUAUACGGUGUGACGCCUGCCCGGUGCCGGAAGGUUAAUUGAUGGGGUUAGCGGUAACGCGAAGCUCUUGAUCGAAGCCCCGGUAAACGGCGGCCGUAACUAUAACGGUCCUAAGGUAGCGAAAUUCCUUGUCGGGUAAGUUCCGACCUGCACGAAUGGCGUAAUGAUGGCCAGGCUGUCUCCACCCGAGACUCAGUGAAAUUGAACUCGCUGUGAAGAUGCAGUGUACCCGCGGCAAGACGGAAAGACCCCGUGAACCUUUACUAUAGCUUGACACUGAACAUUGAGCCUUGAUGUGUAGGAUAGGUGGGAGGCUUUGAAGUGUGGACGCCAGUCUGCAUGGAGCCGACCUUGAAAUACCACCCUUUAAUGUUUGAUGUUCUAACGUUGGCCCCUAAUCGGGGUUGCGGACAGUGUCUGGUGGGUAGUUUGACUGGGGCGGUCUCCUCCUAAAGAGUAACGGAGGAGCACGAAGGUUGGCUAAUCCUGGUCGGACAUCAGGAGGUUAGUGCAAUGGCAUAAGCCAGCUUGACUGCGAGCGUGACGGCGCGAGCAGGUGCGAAAGCAGGUCAUAGUGAUCCGGUGGUUCUGAAUGGAAGGGCCAUCGCUCAACGGAUAAAAGGUACUCCGGGGAUAACAGGCUGAUACCGCCCAAGAGUUCAUAUCGACGGCGGUGUUUGGCACCUCGAUGUCGGCUCAUCACAUCCUGGGGCUGAAGUAGGUCCCAAGGGUAUGGCUGUUCGCCAUUUAAAGUGGUACGCGAGCUGGGUUUAGAACGUCGUGAGACAGUUCGGUCCCUAUCUGCCGUGGGCGCUGGAGAACUGAGGGGGGCUGCUCCUAGUACGAGAGGACCGGAGUGGACGCAUCACUGGUGUUCGGGUUGUCAUGCCAAUGGCACUGCCCGGUAGCUAAAUGCGGAAGAGAUAAGUGCUGAAAGCAUCUAAGCACGAAACUUGCCCCGAGAUGAGUUCUCCCUGACUCCUUGAGAGUCCUGAAGGAACGUUGAAGACGACGACGUUGAUAGGCCGGGUGUGUAAGCGCAGCGAUGCGUUGAGCUAACCGGUACUAAUGAACCGUGAGGCUUAACCUU